ACGCGUGGGUAACCUGGCCCAUACAGGGGGAUAACACUUAGAAAUAGGUGCUAAUACCGCAUAACAACAGAAAGCGCAUGCUUUUUGUUUGAAAACCAAGGUGGUAUGGGAUGGACCCGCGUCUGAUUAGCUGGUUGGCGGGGUAAAGGCCCACCAAGGCGACGAUCAGUAGCCGGCCUGAGAGGGUGGACGGCCACAUUGGGACUGAGACACGGCCCAAACUCCUACGGGAGGCAGCAGUGGGGAAUAUUGCACAAUGGGGGAAACCCUGAUGCAGCGACGCCGCGUGAGUGAAGAAGUAAUUCGUUAUGUAAAGCUCUAUCAGCAGGGAAGAAAAUGACGGUACCUGAGUAAGGAGCCCCGGCUAACUACGUGCCAGCAGCCGCGGUAAUACGUAGGGGGCAAGCGUUAUCCGGAUUUACUGGGUGUAAAGGGAGCGUAGACGGCAGUGCAAGUCUGGAGUGAAAGGCGGGGGCUCAACCCCCGGACUGCUCUGGAAACUGUACGGCUGGAGUGCAGGAGAGGUAAGUGGAAUUCCUAGUGUAGCGGUGAAAUGCGUAGAUAUUAGGAGGAACACCAGUGGCGAAGGCGGCUUACUGGACUGUAACUGACGUUGAGGCUCGAAAGCGUGGGGAGCAAACAGGAUUAGAUACCCUGGUAGUCCACGCCGUAAACGAUGAUCACUAGGUGU
rnacentral:rRNA from 1 species